ACAUAGUGAUGGAGGAGCUAGGGAGAGAAAAACAAAAAGCCGGAGAGGUGAGUUGAGAGAAAUCAGUCAAAAUAAAUGGUGAGUUAUAUGAGUUGUAGAAUAGGAAAUAGAAUCGGGAGUUCGAGUAGAUCACUUGUCAGUAUUCAAGAGAUGGAACUUGUAGGGUCGAAACACAAACGUGGGUUUAACAGCGGCUCAAAUGAUAGAUUUUAAUGAAUUUUCUAGUACUCGCAGGUUGACGGUGGGGCCAUCCUAGCCUGCGCAACCCCACCUCGCCUAUCCCAUAAUGUAUAUCUGUUGUCCUUUACUAUAAAUUUAAGGGAAAUUUUCAA